GAUGAACGCUGGCGGCGUGCCUAAUACAUGCAAGUCGAGCGAACGGACGAGAAGCUUUCUUCUCUGAUGUUAGCGGCGGGAGGGUGAGUAACACGUGGAAAACCUCCCUAUAAGACUGGGGGAACUUCGGGAAACCGGAGCUAAUACCGGAUAAUAGUUUGAACCUCGUGGUUCAAGAGAGAAAGACGGUCGUGCUGUCACUUAUAGAUGGAUCGGCGCUGCAUUAGCAAGUUGGUAAGGUAACGGCUUACGAAGGGAACGAUGCAUAGCCGACCUGAGAGGGUGAUCGGCCACACUGGAACUGAGACACGGUCCAGACUCCUACGGGAGGCAGCAGUAGGGAAUCUUCCGCAAUGGGCGAAAGCCUGACGGAGCAACGCCGCGUGAGUGAUGAAGGUCUUCGGAUCGUAAAACUCUGUUAUUAGGGAAGAACAUAUGUGUAAGUAACUGUGCACAUCUUGACGGUACCUAAUCAGAAAGCCACGGCUAACUACGUG
rnacentral:rRNA from 1 species